rnacentral:ncRNA from 2 species
CUUCACGAGAUGUCGUCGCCAAGCUCCGACUGGACGACACACCAACCCCACGCUCGUGGGUGGCUCGGAUGACGAAGCGGCGGGCGUCAACCGGCGUCAGCAAGAGCGCCUC